GUUAGCUGCUCAAUCGUUCUCAUUGUUUUGGUAGAAAGCAAUUAUGCCAAUAAGUUGUGUUGUGUCUGUUGACACCGUCUAAAAUGCACUCUAGAAAAUGUGUGUGUGUGUGUGUGUGUGUGUUUGUAUGUAGAUUUCAAAAUGUCUCGAAGGAAGUUCAAGCCUUGCCCCUCCUGCCAAGCACUUAACCAGGUGAGCCUCAAAACCUGCAGCUCUUGUUUUGCAGCCAUCACCCAAAAAAAAAAAGUAGCAGCCAAAAAAGUGACCCUGGACAGGAAGUGGGGGGAAAGGGUCCUAAAAAAUAGAAAUGCUGGAAGAGUGGUGGACUCUGCCCAUAUUGCAGUAAGUAGAAAUGCUCAUAUUUCAUUAAGCAAUAUGAUUUGUUUCACUUAAUAUUAUCAUAAUAUGAUUUGUUCAUUAAUAUUGGGUGAUAG
rnacentral:lncRNA from 12 species